AUGGCUCGGUGGCCGCCGGGCUUCCCCGGCUUCUCCCUCCCCCCGCCGGCGUGGCCAUACCGUCCUUCCAUGCCGCCGCCGCCGCCGCCGUCCGGCGGUUCGUCUCAAGGCAGGACCGUCGCCGGCACCUUCGGCGGCCUCGUCGCCUGCCUGCUCGUUGGCCUCGCCGUGUGCAGCCUCUGCAAGAGGCGUCGCAGCAGCCGCGCACGCGCCGCGGCAGCGGCUCCGACGCAGAGCCUGCCGGAGAGCGGCGGCGUGCGGCAGCUUCACCGGGCAUGCGCCGCCAGCCCGACGGCCGGGCUCCCGGCGUUCACGUACAGCCUGUCGGUGAAGCACAACGUGGCGGGCGGAGGGGAGGAGGCAGCGACGUGCUCGGUGUGCCUCGGCGCGCUGCAGGUCGGCGAGACGGUGCGGCUGCUGCCGGCGUGCCUGCACCUGUACCACGCCGAGUGCAUCGACCCGUGGCUGGACGCGCACUCGACGUGCCCGCUCUGCCGCUCCGACACCGACCCGGCCGCUGUCUAG
rnacentral:rRNA from 1 species